rnacentral:lncRNA from 1 species
GUUUGCUUUAAUGUCUAUUAAAUGUCUACAUUUAGAGUCUGUUAACUAUUUUUUCUUCCUAGUCUUCUAGUAAAAUUGGUGCUCCAAGAAGAUACACACGUUGGCCAUGUGGAUUCUGCUAUCUCCUGCUUGGAUCUCAGCCUGGAUCUUGUUGUAUGCAAGUUUGAGAAGCAUAGAUUAGCUACAGAUUUCUUCAUUAAAACUUUCCCCCAAAGAGGAAUGCAUACGUCUAGCAAAUACCCCACCAAGUUAAAGCUGAGAUGGUGGGACCACCCUCUGAACCUAUGAAGUGGCAUUGAGUGCACAGGUGAGUGAGCAUUCCCUGUGUUGGAGUGGGAGCCUGGUGGGAGGUGAUUGAAUCAUGGCCAUGGU